ACAAGCCACACUUCUGUGAAUCACCAUAGAUAAAACAGUUAUUUAUUGUAAUAACAAUUACAUGCUGUGGAACAACUUCUCAUGUUCUUUAGUGAUAGCGGC